ACCAAUAUGGUGAAGUGGUUUGAGUACUAGACUAUUACUCUAGAGACCAGGGUUUAAAUCCCUGCUUAGCUA